GACGAACGCUGGCGGCGUGCUUAACACAUGCAAGUCGAACGCUGAAGACCUGGCUUUUGUUGGGUUGGAUGAGUGGCGAACGGGUGAGUAACACGUGAGUAACCUGCCCUCUUCUUUGGGAUAACGCCCGGAAACGGGUGCUAAUACUGGAUAUUCACUGGCCUUCGCAUGGGGGUUGGUGGAAAGGUUUGUUCUGGUGGGGGAUGGGCUCGCGGCCUAUCAGCUUGUUGGUGGGGUGAUGGCCUACCAAGGCUUUGACGGGUAGCCGGCCUGAGAGGGUGACCGGUCACAUUGGGACUGAGAUACGGCCCAGAAUCCUACGGGAGGCAGCAGUGGGGAAUAUUGCACAAUGGGCGAAAGCCUGAUGCAGCGACGCCGCGUGAGGGAUGGAGGCCUUCGGGUUGUAAACCUCUUUCGCUCAUGGUCAAGCCGCAACUGUGGGUUGUGGUGAGGGUAGUGGGUAAAGAAGCGCCGGCUAACUACGUG
rnacentral:rRNA from 1 species